CCUCGCUGGUGCUGGCCGAGGAGGCAGCGCUGGGAGUCGGGGAGCGCUGCAGGGUGACGAGGGCCAUGGCUGGCGAUCCCGCUCAGGACUGGCUGGGGAAGCCGGUGUGGUGGUCCCGGGGGGAGGAGGGUGGUCCUGCGCCGGUUCCGGUCUGCUCGGAGUCCCACCUGGCUCUAGACACGGCCACCAAGCAUGGCCGGCUGAUUGGUUCCGGAGAUACCGGGAGCGGCAUAUAAGGCCGGGCUGCUCGGGCUCAGUGCGGGUGGAUGGCAGCUCCCGGGGUAGAGAGCCGAUAUCAGGGCUCCUGGGAGACAGUGAGCGCCUCCUGCCGUGACAGGGAUCAGAGAGCGGCCAGUGCUGGGGCCAUCCAGGGACAGGGGCCAGGCCUGGGGGGAGGAAUCACAGCAAGCUUCCUAGC